UCGCUUCAGCAGCACAUAUACUAAGAUCGGAACGGAACGAUACAGAGAAGAUUUGCAUAGCCCCUGCGCAAGGAUGACAUGCAAAUUCGUGAAGCGUUUCAUAUUUAA